UAUUUGCACUUACCUUAGUAAAUACUUUGUAGGCAAUGGACAGUAAGCUGAUCGGUCUAUAAUUUUUCAAGUCUUUGGCGUCCCCUUUCUUAUGGAUUAGGAUUAUGUUAGCGUUCUUCCAAGAUUCCGGUACGCUCGAGGUCAUGAGGCAUUAUGUAUACAGGGUGGCCAGUUUUUCUAGAACAAUCUGCCCACCGUCCUUCAACAAAUCUGCUGUUACCUGAUCCUCCCCAGCUUCCUUCCCCCUUUGCAUAGCUCCCAAGGCUUUCCUUACUUCUUCCGGCGUUACUUGUGGGAUUUCGAAUUCCUCUACACUAUUCUCUCUUCCAUUAUCAUCGUGGGUUCCACUCGUACUGUAUAAAUCUCUAUAGAACUCCUCAGCCACUUGAACUAUCUCAUCCAUAUUAGUAAUGAUAUUCCACGCCUUUACUGACCAGAGAAAAAAGACUGGUUUCAAAGGAAAAACAAUCAGCUUUAACACAAACACAUUCAUUGCCAAUAAAAACUGCACCAAUAGCCUCUUAACCUCCUUUAACCCUGGUUGCGAACAAGCUUCCCAAGAAUGAAUAGCGGCUGUAUGGAAUCGAGCUUUCCAAAACGGUAAAUAAAUGAUUGCAGAAAAAAAGAUCAGAAGUUGUCGGGGAAGAAGCUACUGAACAAUUUGUGGGCCUUGAGCAAUUGUAAGAGAGCUGGUUGCACUAAAGACAUCACUCGUUGUUGCGUAAAAAAUAGUAAUACCACAUGAGUAGACUACCAAAAACACUAAAUGACAGAAUACAAGCAACACUCAGAGGUUGCCACGUAAGUUCGCGCCGAGAAACCAAUAAAACCAAACUUGAAUUAUCGAUAUUGUUUCUCCAUUGCUUCAAACAUUUUUGUCGUUGUUUUGUGUCUGAUGAUUUGCGACACUUUGUUAAGCAGGCGGAGAACAGUAUAAGGAUUUCAAUAGUCUGUUGUUGCGAAAUAUUUGGUUAGUUUGGGUAUUCAGAAAUACGUAAUAGUUCUUUUUCGAACAUGAAUCGUAAAGCAAAAUAAAAUGGCUGACCACACCGGCCCUACAUAAGUGGAUGCCCAGCGAAGCUGUUGAAAACCACCACUACAACUGCUGAGGGAGGCACGCGAUCCUUUUAUGCUCAAUUCCUCCUCCGCCGCGUUAUUCAGCCACAGGAGAACGUGGAUGUGCGGAAUUACUCUGUGCUAGAAUUCCACAGCAAUACGAGCAGCGCCAGCCCGCCACCGCUGGUCGUGUUCCAUUUUCUUUUUCCUUUGACGGCAGCACAAGCAGCCGUCGCCGCGGCAGCUUGUGCAACAGUAAUCUUUACCGGGAAAUGUGUGCGGGGAGCGCUACGUGCUUCGAAUUGUUAGCAGGAGGGCCUUAUCAUGAAUUACGUAAUUUGGAGGCUUGUUUUGGGCUUGUUCUUUAUUGAAACCAAUGGUGUGCCGACUGUUGUACGCGUAAUACCAAAGAAUAUACGCACUUUUCCCUUCAUUCACUGAACAUUUUCUUUUUUUCCGUGAAGGCGACGCUCAGAAUUAUCCCGACCAACUAGAGGCUAACGGCUUGGCUGUAGUAAUUGGUGAGUAAUAUUCUAUUUUUAUUCAAAACUUCGAAUAUUUGCUCACCCCUACGUAUACCUCUACUGUCUGGAGAGGGUGUUAUACAGCUGGAGCGUACCGGCAUCCACAAAGUGUCUAGUCGAUUUGUGACAGUUUUUGUGUUUUUCUUUUCCUAAAAAGGCGUGCAUAUCAAAAAUUGUGCCAGCAAUGUGGAUCCGUGAUGCUUUGGAAGUACUAGCUUAGCCUUAAGUUAUUCGUGCACCUGAGGUUAUUUUCACAGAAAGGAUACCACAUGCACGUUCACAUGGGAAUUGCGCCAUACAGCAUUCCAUACCCCAUGCAUUGCAUCUUGCGCGCUCGCCUGGACGAAAAAUAAAAAUAAAAACUAAAAACAUUUAAGCGCCAUUUCUAUGUCGUGCUAUAAGUCCUCUUUGAUAACAACAACAGCCUCAGUUUGCACAUUUUCUUGUCUCGGCGAAAAGAUGCCAUUUGAUAGAAAAGGUUUGGGUAUCCAUUCGUUACUUCUUGAAGUAAAGUGCGACUCCGAGAAAGAUUUGGCUACGACAAAGAGCAAACACGCGAGUUGCGUGGCUUUGAUUUUCUUCUGGCGUUUAUGACAUGCUCGGGUGCCAUCAGGCAAGACCCUUAGAACUGAAUAAAUUUGGAGAGUAAAUACACCGUCUUCAUCCGGUUGCAUGACGCAUAGCAUUAAGUAGAGAUACAAGUUUAGCGGGAAAAUAUUUAGGAAGCAUGACAGCGAACACAAUUACGCGGGAUAAAACGAAUCGGCAUUAUUCGCUGCUAUGAAAACCUCCUGUUUUAAUGCACAUGUCCGAUAAAUGUAACCCAGUUAUACGCGGUCACAUAAUAUAGAAGUCUAUACAUGAUGAGAACGAGAAGAAAGGGGGCUAACCGAGGGGAACGAUUUUUAUUAAUCAUACCAUAAGAAGCCAACGAAGACAUUAAAGACAGCACAGGGGAAAUAACUUGUACUUACUAAUUGAAAUAAAGAAAUUAUAAAUUAAUGAAACUGAAAGCGUAUGAAAAAACUUGCCGCACGUGGGGAAUGAUUCAACGUCUUCGCGUUACGCGUGUGAAAAAUCGGGCCACUCGGUUAACCCUCUUUUUUCUCGUUCAUUACAUAACAAUGGUCUCGAAUCCGGAAACAUUGAUGCCUUCAAGUAGCACGUGUGGGUUCAUUGACCAGUUGCCUUCACCCUAAAAGAUCACCUACUCGUGCCUCCUGCGACAGAAAGGAUGUUCCGCAUCCGCUGCCAAUGUUUUUAAUUGGUGGCGCUGGCUAACACUCCCAGGGUUAGUUCCAGUAGUAACACAUAAAUACCCCAGAAAGUGGAUUGGAAAGCGGCGCCGCAUUAGAUCAAUGGGUAGAGCAUCGCAUGCGUAAUGCGAAGACGUGGGAUGGUUCGCCACCUGCAGCAAGUCGUUUCUUCAUCCACUUUCAGUUGCAUCAACUUAUGAUUUAUUUAUUUCAAUUAGUAAGUACAAGUAAUUUCCCUUGUGUUCUCCUUGGUUUGUUUGUUUGUUGGCUUCUUAGGUGAUCUAUACAUGAUGUGUCUCUUUGCACAGUAUUUGACUGAAGCGUUUCAACAAAGCAUCGGUGAAUGUAGAUAAGAGAGUACAAGCUUCGCAGAAAAUGUUUAGGAGGUAGGAAAGUUAUGUGAAGUAAAAAUGUUUGCUUGUGUACGAAAUGUUUGCUUCAUUCAAGCUACACUUGCCAACCAUCAUUUAGUCGUUAAAUGGUAUUAAAGGGUCUCACAAAUAACUGAUCAGAAUGUGUUGUGAGGCGUGGAUGGAAAUGAAAUGUCCACGAUUUAUAGUGGUAGAAGCCAGCACGCUGCUCGCGAUUUAGGCAGGAAUUAUAAUCCUAAUUUGGUAAAGAAAGUCUCAAAAAUUGGUAGAAGGCGAGGCCUGGUGAUGUAAUCUUGGUACUUUGGAUGUAGUCUUGAGAUUACUGUGCGUAAGUCGGCUGCUAUUAAGUACAAUAUAAUUGUUGCUAAAAAUUGCAGCUGCUAUAUUAUUUGACAUUUGCGCUUUAUUCCACGCUUCAGAAAUCAAAAGCGCGCGCAUGGCUACGGCAACACGUUGAAGUGCGUAUCACGUGUAAAAGCGUCGUUUCGUUCUUUUUUCGUUUUUCGGACAGGAAACCACGAAAACGUGUAGCUAUUGAGGCAGAAAUACUUUAGCACUUCGGAAACCAUGAAUCGCAGGAAGAUUGACUUGAUAAACAAAAUAAUACUUUUUCGCAGUUAGGGCCGCAGUUGUGAUCUGCCUCCCACUAAUGCCGGCAUAUAAUCACUAUCGCGCUCAACUAUCAAUCUUUUGCCUUCCUUUAUGGUUUUUAGCAUGCUUCAAGUCAUGAUGAUGAUGAUGAAAAACUUUAUUUAUCCCUCUUUAAAAGGAAGAAUCUGCAGUGUCGACUACGUCGACACUGCAGGUCGAAAAAUUCUUUCAAAAAUUGUUAGGCACUCAGAUAGCACAUUAUCAAAAACAUAGGCGCACACACAAAGCGUGUGUCAGCGCCUACGUUUCUGUUCAUGUCGUGUUUUCCUUGCACAGUUUAACAUUUUGCUGAAUGUAUGAACCAACAAGCCCGACAACAUGUCUUACUACUUUAAAUACUCCCCCUCAGCAAUACAUACUCAAGAGAGAAUAUGCAGAAUGCACAGAGAUGGUCUGAAGUAGGAAGAUCUAUGUCUGGACGCACUUUUGAAACCGCCUUUUGAAGGCUUUUGAAACCGCCAUACAGUGGCGUCUAGGGAUUAAAAGAAGCAGAAUCGGAUGUAUUCAACAAUGACUUAGCAUUUCCAGGGACAUUACAUAUUGCACUACAUAUCGUUGUCAACCCGCCGUUGUUGCUCAGUUGCUAUGGUGUUGGGCUGCUCAGCACGAGGUCGCGGGAUCGAAUCCCGGCCAUGGCGGCCGCAUUUCGAUGGGGGCGAAAUGCGAAAACACCCGUGUACUUAGAUUUAGGUGCACGUUAAAGAGCCCCAGGUGGUCAAAAUUACCGGAGUCCUCCACUACGGCGUGCCUCAUAAUCAGAAAGUGGUUUUGGCACGUAAAACUCCAUAAUUAAUUAAUUAUAUUGUUGUCACUGCUUAGUACUUCUGCGUGGAACUGAAAACAUUUUUGCAACGAGGCGUUUGCAAAACCGAACUGAUUUUCUUGUGUAAAAAUUUCGUAUUUGGCUCAAUGCCCUAGCAUUGAUAUAGAAAGAAGUGACCAUAAAAACAAAAAUGCAUUCAACAAACCUAUCACCUGAAUAGUCGCUGGUCAUAAUGCGGCUAACCUUACUUGCAUGAGCAUGGAAAUUUGAAGGCAACCAGUGGCGCAUUACCUUCUCAGGGGCCGUGCCGUUGACUUCUCGAAGAUGCAGCAUCGGUUGAGUUUGUUGCGGAAAAUGAAUAUUCCUUGCAUAAGGCAGUGCUAAAACAUUCAGCCUGAAAACACAGGCUUCCGCCUUCCUCCAGCAGCAACCUGGGUAAUGUCGCCCCCGUUAUCGCUAGCGACGAAUGUGAGAGCACCGUGUAGCAAGACCGGAGAAAGGACAUCAACAAUGAUAAAUAUAUGAACGGGCGCACGUGAAUUGCUUUAUUUACAGUGAGGACAACACACUUUACCUGAACAUCGCUGAAGUGAUGUUCGUUCAACGUGCUUAUGAAGCAAGAGCCAUUACAGGUGGGCAGAUGUCUAAUGUAGUCGAUAAGGGCUAGUGCCUCUACCAAAAUUUACAAGCCAUGAGGUUUCCUACCGUGGCAUUGUCAUCGUUUGUACUUUCUGAAAAUCUCACUUAGUUAUCUUGUUCACUUAUAACAACUUGAAAGUCAAGGCCAUAAUAUCGUCAAAUGCAAGAACUUCCACGGACAAUCAUUCACAGCCAACGGAAUCAGUGAUGUUAUCUCUGCUACAAUACUGCCAGCAAGUAAUAUCGCUAGUGAUAAAAUGGCGCUAAGUUUUCUCUGUUUCUCUGCUUGUGAGAAAGUUCUUCAUUGAUUAUGUCUUUUAUGCUGAAUCGGAAACUGCUUUUCACUGAUUAACAAGUGAUUUGAAGAAAGUGAAUUCUCCAACGGAAAGCGGUUGUGAGAUUUAUGGCACUUCCGGAGACCUUUGUUUAAGAAGAAUUGACUGUGGACCGCUAAGUUCAACGUGGAAAGAGGGGAAACCCGGAGCCUCAACGUAUUAUGAUUCAGCUGCCUAAGCUGAAUUGCAACGGCUGACGCAGGCUGAGUAAAGCAUUGACGCUAACAACCCGCAUUCUCAAACAAUCCUGGACUGGAAGCUCUUCCUCCCCUCCCCACCACAAAGUUUACGACAUCGUUGCUCCUUGACUAAAGAAGACGCUACGCUUCUAAAAAAUUUGGCACCUUUCAAGCAAAGGCGCUACUACAUGGAUGGCCAGGCAUAGCACACACCCUGCCGGCCAUUUAGGUGGCACGUUCACACUAAGACCAGGACAACAUAAUCUGUAUUCGGUGACCUGCAAUGCAUGGAGCUCUUAACAGACCUUCGCCAUUCACCAUUGUGCCCAUGGACGGAGCAACGUUUCUGCAGUUAAUUUUACAGAAUGUACAAAAUAAAAUAAAUAUGUUUGUCUCAGGUAUAGAAGAAAAAUAAAAUGUCCGGAACCCAAGCGCUGAAGGAAUCAGUUUACGCCAAGCUUGAUUUGUGUUUGUGAAAGACGAUGUUCCAGCUUAGCGUUGUUAUGAACGGUCCGCUGACGUGCAAGUUUUGGUUGCCUGUUGCGGCAGCGGGCGUCAACUUUUCCUGGAACACCACCGCAAACCUCUAGCCACGGCGUCGCUAAGUCGACUGUGUGUGGAGAACAAUACGCGCGUCCUCGACUCUCCGUCGCUGGAGCCAAGAUGAUUGCGAGGAAGCAGGCUUUGUGCCUGAACCCGCCACCACCAACUUGGUCCGCUGUGAACGAGGGAGUGCCCGAGGGAACGCAGUUCGAGGUCCCUUCCCCCGCGCCGUUCAAGGCGCAUGACAAUGGGCGCCCGGCCGCGCUGCGGGGGUCAGCUCGGGGAAUAAAAGGCACCUUUCGUGACACAAGCCCCGAGUUCUACGAAGUCCGUCUGGCCUCGGUUGGGGACCGUGAACCUCGCGCAAAGAAGUGUGUGUGUGAGUGUGUGUGUGUAAUCUAUCGCGCAGAGAGGAGUCUCGUAUACGGGGCCUGGUCGAACGUUUCCCUCACCUUGGGAUCGUGGGAGGACCGAGUGUUUAUAAACCGCUGUUGUGUGGCUGCUCAGUGUACUUUCUCUCGCAGUCAUGCUAGACUGAUGAACUGCAACGUCCUGAUGUAGAUACUGUAAAUAAACCCAUAUUCCUCGUUCUCGAUGAGAAGCAGUCCUUCCCUUCAACAACGUCCUCAGCGUGGCUAAGUUGGACGACGGCAUGGGCCAGCUACCAUCUAAUUCAUGCCCGACUCCAACCUUGACAACGAGUUAUGAGCGGUGGGAGUGAGCCCCCCAAUCCUUCCAGCGACUAUUUGAGAACAGAGACCACGCGACCCUGUUAGAUAGAUUUUCACUGGGAGGCGCCUCGUUCAACAUAACCUUAAGGUGCUCGAUUAUGCACCAGCCCCGCAUGACGACUAAGAAAUGACGACGAUGCAACACUCGCGAUGACAUGGAGGCGACAGCAGGACGUCGACGCAUAUACUAAGGUGAAAUUACCACGCUGUGUUCACUACGAUAGCGUGACGACGAUUUUGUUUCGACGUCAGCAUUACGGCAGUGAAAGGACGAAGCCGAAAUGAAGACUACGCAUUCACGAUGACAACGAAAUGACGACGAUGAUGUGGCGACAAAGGCAUGAAGAUAAUCGGAUGAGAGUGAAAGGACUUUGACAUAAAGAAGAAAAUGAGACUACCUCGAUGGCAUGACGGUAACAUUGUGAUGAGAACACAAUGAUGGCAAUAGCCUUACGACAAUGGAAUGCCAAAACCGAGCUGAUGAUCACGGUAUGACAACGAUGGCUUGAAGUUUCGGCUUGAUGACGACGUUAUGUCAACGUAGUGCCAGAGUGAGAAGGGUGGAAGGAGGAUGACGGUAUGACAACGAAGGAAUGAUGGCGAUAGCGUCAAGGCGAUAAAAUGACGACGACGGAAUGACGAGGACGACAUGACAAUGACGAGGUGUUAGGGUGUGCCUCCAAUCGCCGCGGGCCCCCUCUAAUAACAAUAUAUCCGCUGUUGGCUCCCACUGUGUCCUGUACCACCCAAUCAUGAAAGACUGCAGUUAGGAGACAGUAGUGAUGACAGUGUUGCGUAGACGUCACAUGAAUGACAAAAAGUAGGGUUGGUAAAGAUAGGAGUGCCGUGCUUCCUGUGAGCUAUUCGGCUAGACAGCAGCGAGUGGCAGCAGCAACUGUAAACUCAAAAGAAGAGGUAAGAAAAGCUUCGUUUUAAAGGUUAUUUGACAUUACACUGCUAUCUACAGCAUAAAUGUUAUUUUCAUCUUUUACAGGUGGUGGUCAAGAGCCUGCAGCUUAGGAACCGGUGAUACGAAAUACUGAUGCUUUUCUCCAAUCACCAGUACCUAUUUUUCUUGAUGUCCACUCUAACGAAUAUAGCCAUCACUUACAAUUCUGCUACGGACCUGGCAUCGCAAACAAACUGUGGAAACAGUGCAUGCUUAUCAUUUCUUCGGCGCAUGAAAAACAGACACAAAUCACCAUUUCUAUAGCGAUCAGCUAUCAGUAAUAAGACUCCCAACAUUACAGUUCAAAAGCCCUGCAAGAUAACAAGACUCCGUGAUCGGUACUUGGCCUGAGAAACCUGUGAAGAAACCUGUGAGUGCCUUUGUGUAGGGCAAGUGGCCACAAGGACAAUGAUAUCACAAGGUGAUACUAAGCAGAACAAAAAUAUGUUCGACCCCGUAUGGCCAGCGUGCUCAAGAGCAGAAGCUGGCGAAUAUUUCCGAAAAGAAAAAUAUUUAUGUAUAAUCACCGUAUACUGGGAGUGCUAAUCGAAUUGGCAAGAUAACCGAAGCUAAAAAGAUAAAGAGAGGUUGUCCUAAUUAAGAGGAAUCUAGCUUGGCACUAGGCUCAGAAGUAAGAAGGAGUAGAGAAACAAUUUGGAGGACGCUUAAGUUUCGCCUUUAAGAGUGGAACGCGAUAGAAUUCAAGGAUCCCAGACUGCUCCCCACGCUUCCCGGCAACUGGAGCGCAUGUAUCCGUAGUGUUUACCGGGAAACGCUGGCGGCGAAAGCUAUGCACGAAGGCGGGCUUUGUGGUAGAAACGCGGCCUCUUGCGUAGGCCGCGAUGCGAUGGAGGCGAAAUGCAGCUGGAGGUAUCGCAAGGAACCGGGCGCGCCGCUCCAUAGUCCUCAAGACUCCCAUCGCGCCGGCGCGCGCUAAUGGCGGACGCCGCGGCUGGUCUGUGUGAGAAGGGGCCUCAUCGAGUUUUCGCGUAACAGAAUUAUAUUCUCGUACAGUAAAAUUACAAUCUGAGAGCUAUCAUGUAUGUAGGUGGCGUGUAAGUCGCAGUUUAUGAAUUCUCCACGUAUUUCAGCUUAGGAAUCUCAAUUAUUUCAGUAAAAUCUUACGUCACAUGGAGGGCCUCGGUAUGUGUGGUAUAAAAAUAUUUUUGCCGAAACGACGCGGGGCGCCGGACGUCGACGCCGUAUUUCAUGCGACACGGGCUGCUUAACGCUAUCGCGUUAGCUCUUUCCUUACCACGCCUACUCAAAUCGAUCACCGGUGAAAGAUGGUUUAGAUCGCCAAUUUCGACUUAUGGGCUAUCCAGUAGUUAGUACAGACAAUUUGCUUUCAGAAUCAGAUUAAAUUUUGGCACUCCGGCGAUGUCGUGAUUUUUGACGCACCUUUUUGCGAACUAAUGUGCAUAUGCUGUAGCAAAAAGAGGAGUGGCUGUCAAAUUCUGCCGCGCCCGAGAAAAAAGCAUGCCACUUAUGAUUACGCCGCACUAGCAUCAAAAUUGUGUAAUCAAAUGGCUCCCAGUACGUCACGAAUUAAAUUAUAUCGCCGGCUUUGCCGUCCGACAGUGCUUAGCGGUGAUAAUUAGCCCAAAAUGCCGCCUCCUGUUCACUACUGAACUUUGGUAUGGAGUCCAAGUCGUUUUAUUCCACUAAAACGUAUUUCUGAAUGUCCGCCGCAUGUCCAGCAUGUGGACCCGGCUUUCGCAACCAGUUUCAAAAUGUUUCGGUAACGCUUCUCUCGUAAAAUUCCAUCAAGGUGCGCUGCCGGUGUCACUGCGCAGUUAUCAAAAGUCGCUCCCAUGGCGUCGUCCCGCGCGGCUGCGUCACGAGAAAAGCGUCCUGCUCGAAAGUUUGUAGCACCCGCACUUGAAUCUAGUGAUGAGGACUCUAGUUAUGAUUCCGAAGAUGACAGUAAAGCAGACUCAAACUAUGACGGCAGCGAUGUUCUGAGUCAGCAUGGGAGAUCUGCAGCUGUUCACCAGCGAGUUUCCUUUACUGCCUUCAUCGCUCUCCUUUCUUGUGGGCACUUAGCUGCCGAUCUUUUUUCACGACCUGAGAGCUCUGCUGAUCAUCUUCAGGGUGUAUACUUCGCUUCGUUAUGAUGUGCUGCCAUCGGCAGCAAAGAAACCCGUUCACGCCAAGGAGGCCACCCGUAGCACAUCUCGGCCCAGCACUACGCAUCAGCGUAAGACAGUUUACAAUGGCGUGGGAUUUCUUUCGACUCUUCUUCUCUGCAGAGGUGAUAAAUACAAUGGGGAAAAAUGCAAACAGAUAUGCUUCGAUGCAUAUCCCGAUGCUGUUGGCUUCGAUGCAGUUGCCCAGCUACGCUGAAAGUGAUCGGUCCGGUAAGAGUUGCAUGACUCUAGACGAGUUGGUGAAAUACGUUCCUUGGAGAGAGAUAAUAUUGAAUGGCAGAAAGGUGGAGAGGUCGGCCUGAGUGAAAUGACUCUAGCCUGCUACUCCACGCUGGGGAAGGGGUUUGGGGAAUAACAGAGAUAGGAUGUGAAGAGGAAGGAUGGCGGUGGUACGGUGAAUAUGAUGAGGGCUGCACAGCACAAUGUUUCUGUGUAAUGCGUACGUGUACACUUCACAGCUCAGCACAGUCAUCUUCGCGAGCAGAGGUAUAAGUUACUGCAGCGUAGCGAAGAGAUACGUUCCUUGGACUUCUUAUCCGACUAUCCUCAGAAGAUGCCGAAGAAGCGAAACUGCAAAAUGUGUUACGAGGGCCACAAAGUUGAACAAAAAUCAUACGUUUUAAGGAAAAAUUGAGGAAUGCACCUAUGCUUCCCAAAAUCUAGCAACUGCUUCACCGCAUGGCAUGAGCGAUGAACUGGUCUUAGUUUCUUUUUUGUAUCCGAAGAACGGCGGUGUACUGAGCAUUUAUUUUUUCAGACACUACUACUGGGUUAUUUAUUUUGGAAAUGUUCCACUCCACUCGGACUUCCUCGACGUGAAGCUACGCUUCUCUGUCGCCUUUGCUUAGGAGUUGCCUUCACAAAGGCAUACUCUACAUUAAUUGGAGUGACUGACAGUGCAGCAUGCGAGGUCUGUGGCACCGAAGAAAACAUCGACCACCUGCUGUGCCACUGUCCAAGAUAUGCCCCAGAGAGACAAGAACUUGCCAAAGCUUUCCAAAAACUGGACAAUCGGCCGCUUUCCGUGCAGGUGCUGCUGGAACAACGCCCCCAUCGCCCGUCGGCCCAUAAAGCGGUGAAGGCGCUUUUGUGUUUCUUAAGGACGACGGGUUUGUGCGACCACCUGUGACUAUUAAUGCAAUUUCUGUAAAACCACACGCGUCAGCGAACUUGCCGCAAUUUCCUUCUUUCCUUCCCUCCUCUCUCUCUCCCUGUGAUCUUUGCUUUCCCCCUUUCCCAUUCCCCCGGUGUAGGGUAGCCAACCGGACGUUAUUCUGGUUAACCUCCCUGCCUUCUUCUUUUCUCUUUCCUCCUCCUCCCUCCGUUCAUUCUGAAUUUUUUUUACUAUAAUGUUUUUUUGUAUAUAUCUUCACAUUUUAAUCAACUGGCAGCAAAAAUUGCGGUUUCUAGAAUUUUUGUUUUACCCAAUAAUUUCUUUUUGUUUGGCAACGUAUGUUUUUGGGAAGAGCAUUUCAUUAUGCACAAUAUGCUAUGCUGCAAUGUGGGCUUAAAUAUUAUUUGUAGUGGUAAAUAAUUUUUUUUUUUCCGGGACUUACAAAAAACGACCAUUUUCUCGCUGUAAGGAAAGAGUUAAAAUGGUGGUCUCAGGAGUAAUGAUAGAGGCAGACAUUGGGAUGACACUAUAUGCAUGUUCGUAUCCGAAGGGCCACAUCACAGCCUGUGUUGAAUAAAAAUACAAUGAAAGGCUUGAUGGCUUCUCUCGUUGAUAGGGUGUUAGGCGAAGAGCCAAAUAACUCUACACUCAACGGCUUAGUCUCAAGUGAUACUAACGAAUAGAGAAAUGCUGGCCAUUCAUACUCAUAUUGGAUGCACGAGAAAUAUAUGUGCUGCACUGCUUCUGGCACCUUGUAGAAGUAAGUCUUCCUAUUAGGUGCAAUGCUCACGAUAUAUUUUAACAGCGGAGCUAUUUAAGCUUUUAGUUCCGCCGCGGAGUGUUACCAGAAAAUCAGCCCAGCUGUGCGCCGUGACGCGUUGCCGAGCAACCACAUGCAAAAGCACCGAACCACGUAACCUUCUCGCCUCCCGCACACUUCGGGCGGAGUCCUGACGUCACAGGCGAGUAAACGCUCAGAACAGCCGGCGCGCCGACACACCUCUCGCCUCCUCUACUCCCUGCGUACGUGCUGCUGCCAUGCUAAGACCGAAGAAAGUCCGGACGCUCGGAGAAGAAGCGGCUUACCAGGAAGAGCGCCGUACUGCCAAGCGAGAAGCGUUGCGUCGUCGCCCAGCUGAUCCGGAACACCACGCCCAAGCUGCGACAGAGAAGAGGCGACACCGAGUAGAGGAUCCCGAGUUUCAAUCCAGGGAACGCGAGAGUUGGCGCCUGAACGCUCGACGUCGCCGAGAGAAGCGAUCCAGGCCUGCGACUGCUCGAAAACUUCCAGCGUUAAGCCCGCCGAGACAACUCACUAAAAGCUAGCAUAACCUCGCAAAACCUAGAAACAACUUAGCCAAGCCUACCAUAACCUCGGAAAACCUAGACACGACAUAGCCAAGCCUGCCAACAACUUAGCAAAAGCUGGCAUAUCCUCUAAAAACCAAACCUAAAAACAACUUAGGCAAGCCACGUAAAAGCUAGGUGAUGCAGAAAAGAGUAUGCAUGUCCGAUUGAACGUGGCUGUGGCCGAGUGCAUGCGUGG